CCUCCCUGUGACUUGGCUUUGGUAUUGCACUUCCUGUGGGGCCAGGAAACCUCCCUGGCUUUCUCAAAAGUUGGCUCAAGAAGGUGAACUGUGGGCCAGGCGCGGUGGCUCACGCCUGUAAUCCCAGCACUUUGGGAGGCUGAGGUGGGUGGAUCACGAGGUCAAGAGAUCGAGACCAUCCUGGUCAACAUGGUGAAACCCCGUCUCUACUAAAAAUACAAAAAAUUAGCUGGGCAUGGUGGCGCAUGCCUGUAAUCCCAGCUACUCGGGAGUCUGCGGCACGAGAAUUGCCUGAACCCAGGAGGCGGAGGUUGCUGUGAGCCGAGAUCACGCCAUUGUACUCCAGCCUGGGUAACAAGAGCGAAACUCCGUCUCAAAAAAAAAGAAGGUGUACUGUUGAAGACUUCUGCAUCCGGACAAAUCCAGUGGCUCAUGUGUACAGCAGAAUAAGUCUGGCCAACAUUUAUUGUGUGCUAUAGUACAGCUACUGUGCUAAGGCUUUACAUAAAUCCUUAUAGUAAACCUGUAUCUCCUACUUUACACAUCAAUAAACUGAAGCUCUGAACAACUAGGUAAUUUGUCUAAAGAUAACAGCUAGGAAGUGGCUGCAUUGGUAGUGUUCUUGACUGUAUGCUAUACUAACAUAGAAUCUCCCUAAAGAAUAGAAGACAGUUUAUAUAGCUUUUUUUAACUACUGAAUUUUCUUAGGCAGUCAAAGGGCUGUGAUUCUCUAUGCUGACUGCAUAUCAGAAUUACCUGGGUAGCUUUUGAAAAUGUAGAUUCCUGGCUUCCACCUAAUACUCAUUAAAGUAAUCUUUGUGGUUGGAACAUAGGAAUCUGGGUUUGGCGAAGUUUCCUCAGGUGAUUCUGAUGAGUAGCAAGGUCUGAAAAUCACUGGUCUAGGAACUACUUAUACAGAUCAAGUUUGCAAAAGUAUAAACAUAUAUAUUUGCAUAUGUAUUUGUUAGGUUCAAAUAAUUCUCCUAGCAGUAAAGUGUUGUAGGGAACCUACAAAUGUCCCAUCCAAUACGUUAAGUCAGCAAAUGUGUUGGACACAGAUGCAGUAGAGAGGCAAAAAGAAAUCACAUAAAAUGCUGCUCUGGAGGGACAAGGCAAAAUGUCCUAGGCACAAUGUCCUAGGCACCAAUAAGAGAGAGCCAUAUGUUCUACCUUAAGGUAAGUUAGUUGUGAGCAGCUGCACAAACUUACAGUCCCUAGGGAACUGGGAUCUCCUAUGAUUCAUCUUUGUAUGUCUUUUGAGUGCACUCAGCAAGAACACGCUCCCAAGGAUGAGGAGCAUGUUGCCUUCUGUGUGCUAGCCCCAAACUGCAGUCUGCAUACAGCUGAAGAUAGACCAUAAUAGAGACUAUCCCCUAGGAAAGAGGGAAUUAUCUUUAGUGAAAACAAAACCCAGAGACAUCAGGAGUUCAGUUCUGGAAGGAAUAUCUUCAAGUGAGACAAUGUGGUUGCCCAAAUAGCCUAAAUUUUAUCCUUCUGAUUAUUCAUAUUCUUUAGGGUUUGCCCACUGUGACAUUACUCUGAUCUAAGGAAUAUUCUGCUGAUCAUUUAAAGCACUGGUCCAUGGGUGAACACUUCCUCCCUUGGUUCCUCUUAGGACAGCUAAGAAAGAACUUUUUACAAGCUUAGCCUAUUAUUGGGCACACAAUGUAUAAAGAUGUAAUUAGUGCCAUCAAUAGAAAGGGACGAGUGAAGCAAUAUAGGACCAGAGAUUUUGUAUGCUACUGAAGUUAAGUUGGUAUAAAUUCAAAUGAGUUUGUUACAACAUUAGGAUGUUAAAUGUAAUUCUCAUGGUAAACACAAAAAAUACCUGUAGAAUAUACAUAAAUGGAAAUCAUCAGAGAAUCAACAUUUACUAUAAAAAGUAAGCUAAACACAAAAGAUGGCAGUAAUAGAGGAAAUGAGGUACAAAAAAAAAAACCCUAAAAGGCAUAUAGAAAACAAAUAGCAAAAUAGAAAUCCCUCUUUAUCAGUAAUUACUUUAAAUAUAAAUAAAAUGUCCAAGGAAAAGACAGAUUGACAAAAAAACCCCAGCAAAUUCUAGAAUCUAACUAUAUGCUGUCUAUGAAAGAUAAAAAUAGAUCAAAAGUGAAAGAAUAGAAAACGAUAAUUCAAUGCAAAUAGUAACCAAAAGAGAGCUGGGGUAGUUGUACUAAUAUCAGACAAAAUAAGCUUUAAAUCAAAAAAGUUUCCAAGGGCAAACAGAAACAUUAUAUUAUAAGAAAAGUCAAUAUAGCAUGAAGAUAUAACAAUUAUAAAUAUUUAUAUACCUAAUAAUAGACCGUCAAAUUUAUGAAGCAAAACUUGACAGAAUUGAAGAGAGAUACAGUUCUACAACAAUGGUAGCAAACUUCAUUCACCCACUUUCAAUAAUAGAUAGAACAAACAGUUAGAAAAUAAAGAAAUAGAGGACAUGAACAACACAAUAAUUACAUCUACACAUAUAAAGAACACACUACCCAACAACAUCAGCAUAAACAUUCAUCUCAAGUGCAUGUAGGACAUUCUUAGACAGACCAUAUGUUAGGCCACAAAAUAAGUCUCAAUCUAUUUUAAGAAUACAUAUCACACAAAGUUUCUUCUCUGACCACAACAGGAAUCAGUAACAGAAGUAAAACUGGAAAAUUCACAAAUAUGUUAAAAUUAAACAAAACACUCAAAUGACCAAUGAGUCACAGGCAAAAGCAACACAAAAGAAAUUAUAAAAUACUUAGAGACAAAAACACAACAAACUUAUGGGAUGCAGUAAAAGCAGUGCUAAAGGGAAAUUUAUAGCUAUGAAUGUCUACAUUAAAAAAGAAGAUCUAAAAUCAAUAACCUGACUUUAUACCAUAAGAAACUUGAAGUAGAAGAACAAAUGAAACCCAAAACUAGGCCAGGCAUGGUGGCUCAAGCCUGUAAUCCCAGCACUUUGGGAGGCCGAGGUGGGUGGAUCAUGAGGUCAAGAGAUCAAGACCAUCCUGGUCGGGAGAAGGAUGAAAAUGGCUCUGUAGGACCAACUCAGGAUUGCAGCUCCCAGUUAAUCUGCAGAGGGUGAGUGGAUGCUGCAUUUUUAUACGGAUCUUUAUUGUCCACAGACUAGAUUCCCAGGUGUAAGAGCCCCACCGGCCACCAGUGCAGCAGUUUGGGCCAGUACGGCUGUUUGGGCCGAGACCACAGUGCAGCGACACUCCGUACAAAAUACUCGGGUUUGGUUGCCCUGUUAAACCAGCAAUUGGAGAUUUCGGAAGGCACAUUAGCACAUUCAUCUGAUUAAAUGGGACUUAAACAGAAAGCCAGUCCAGGAGAUUCCCAGGCAGCAACAUGGUUUGAGCUGGCAGUGGGUCACUGCAUGGGAAAUCACACAGAUCUCGGCACCCUUGCAGCAGGUGACUGGAACAACUGGGAGAGAGUCAACCGUUCAACUUAAAAAAAAAAGGCGGGGGGGGGGCUCUGAGGCAGGAAGCCAGGUGAUCAGGCUCGAUGGGUCCCACCCCCACAAUAACAAACAAAAUAGCAACUGAAAACGCUUGGGGUUGAGAGUUUCAUGGCAAGCACAGCUGAACCCAGGACAGUGCAGCUUGGUGGGGGAGGGGUGUCCUCCACUACCGAGGCAUGCGACCCCUACGGAGGUACGCUGCCAUUGCUGACGCAGCCUGCCAUUUCCAAGGCAACCCGCCAUAACAGAGAGUCCACCACUACAGAGGCGGGCCACCAUCGCCACUGCAGUUCUAACCACACCCAUAUAUAAACAGGACUACAGGGAAUUACACAGGGCAGGAGGGCAGAGCCCACGGCAGCAGGGCAGAGCCCAUGGCAACAGGGCGGAGCCCACAGCAGCUCAUAAUAGCCACUACAGGCAGGCAGUGAUUAAACUGCCUCCUUGCUGGGCAGGAAAGUGCAACGAAUACUCAUAAAUAAAGCCCUAACUUCCCGGGACAGAGCACCUGAGGAAUAAAAAAGGGGGGGCUUUAUAAGUUCUGUUGCAACAGACUUAAACGAACCUGCCUAGCAGCCCUGAAUGAACAACGGAGCUCACAGCUCAGCACUAGAACUCCUAUAAAGUACAAACUGUCUCCUCAAGCAGCUCUCUGAGCCCCCUAUAUCCAAAGACUCACCUCACAAAGGACUGAUCAGACUGACAUUUGGUGGGCAUCAUUCAGGGACAAAGAUAGCAGAAGAAUAAUCUGGUAGCAACCGUCACAGUUCCGCCGCUGCUACAGGAGUUCCCCAGGCAAGCAGGGCCUGGAGUGGACCUCAGCAGUCCUACAGAAGUGAGGCCAGACUGUUAGAAGGAAAACUAAGAAAAAGAAAUACUUCAUCAUCAACAAUCUGGAAGUCCACUCAGAGACCAAAUUGGAAAAUCAGCAACCACCUGGAAGACAGGUGGAUAAAUCCACAAAGAUGGGAAGAAACCAGCGCAAAAAGGAGGAAAACACAUGAAACCAGAAUACCUCGCCUCCUACAAAGGACCAGAACUCCUCACCAGCAAGGGAACAAAGCUGGACAGAGAAUGAGUGUGACGAAAUGACGGAAUCAGACUUCAGAAGGUGGGUAAUGAGAAACUUCCAUGAGCUAAAAGAACAUGUUCUAAAUCAAUGCAAAGAAACUAAGAACCUUGAAAAAAUAUUUGAGGAAAUGAUAACAAGAAUGGACAACUUAGAGAGGAAUAUGAGUGAUUUGAAGGAGUUGAAAAACACAACAUGAGACCUUCGCAAUGCAUGCACAAGUUUCAACAGCUGAAUUGACCAGGCAGAAGAAAGGAUAUCAGAAGUCGAAGAUCAACUCAUUGAAAUAAAACGAGAAGCCAAGAUUAGAGAAAAAAGUGCAAAAAGGAAUGAAACAAAGUCUCCAAGAAAUGUGGGACUAUGUGAAAAGACCUAACCUACGUUGCAUAAGUGUACCUGAAUGUGACAAAGAGAAUGAAUCCAAGCUGGAAAAUACUCUUCAGGAUACUAUCCAGGAAAAUUUCCCCAACCUAGCAAGGCAGGCCAAUAUUCAAAUCCAGGAAAUACAGAGAACACCACAAAGAUAUUCCUCAAGAAGAGCAACCCCAAGGCACAUAAUUAUCAGAUUCACCAGGGUUGAAAUGAAGGAAAAAAUGCUAAGGGCAGCCAGAGAGAAAGGUCGGGGCACCCACAAAGGGAAGCCCAUCAGACUCACAGCAGAUCUCUCGGCAGAAACCCUACAAGCCAGAAGAGAGUGGGGACCAAUAUUCAACAUCCAUAAAGAAAAGAACUUUCAUCCCAUAAUUUCAUAUCCAGCCAAAGUAAGCUUCAUAAGUGAAGGAAAAAUAAAAUCGUUUGCAAACAAGCAAGUACUCACAGAUUGUGUAACCACCAUGCCUGCUUUACAAAAGCUCCUGAAAGAGGCACUACACAUAGAAAGGAACAACCAGUACCAGCCACUCCAAAAACAUACCAAACGGUAAAGAGCAUCAACAAUUGAAGAAUCUGCAUCAACUAAUGGGCAAAACAGCCAGCUAGCAUCAAAAUGGCAGUAUCAAAUACACACAUAACAAUAUUAACCAUAAAUGUAAAUGGGCUAAAUGCACCGAACAAAAGACACACACUCGCAAAUUGGAUAAAAAGCCAAAACCCAUCAGAGUGCUGUAUCCAGGAAACCCAUCUCACAUGCAAGGAUACACAAAGGCUCAAAAUAAAGGGACGGAGGAAGAUUUACCAAGCAAAUAGAGAGCAAACAAAAAAAAAAAAAAAAAAGCAGGAGUUGCAAUUCUCAUCUCUGAUAAAAUAGACUUUAAAGCAACAAAGACCAAAAGAGACAAAGAAGAACAUUACAUAAUGGUAAAAGGAUCGAUACAACAAGAAGAGCUAAGGAUCCUAAAUAUAUAUGGACCCAAUACAGGAGCACCCAGAUAUAUAAGGCAAGUUCUUAAUGACUUACAAACAGACUUAUACUCCCACACAAUAAUAGUGGGAGACAUUAACAGUCACUGUCAAUAUUAGACAGAUCAACCAGACAGAAAAUUAACAAGGAUAUCCAGGGCUUGAACUCAGACCUGGAACAAGCAAACCUGAUAGACAUUUACAGAACUCUCCACCCCAAAUCCACAGAAUAUACAUUCUUCUCAGCACCACAUCACACCUACUCAAAAAUUGACCACAUAAUUGGAAGUAAAGCACUCCUCAGCAAAUGCAAAACAACUGAAACCAUAACAAACUGUCUCUCAGAUCAUAGUGCCAUCAAGUUAGAACUCAGAAUUCAGUAACGAAUUCAGAACCACACAGCUUCAUGGAAACUGAACAACUGGCUCUUGAAUGUUGAUUAGAUAAACAAUAAAAUGAAGGCAGAAAUAAAGAAGUUCUUCGAAACCAAUGAGAAUAAAGGCACAACAUACCAGAAUCUCUGGAACACAUUUAAAACAGUCUCUAGAGGAAAAUAUAUAGCAAUAAGUGCCCACAUGAGAAGAGUGGAGAGAUCCAAAAUUGACACCCUGUCAUCAAAACUGAAAGAGUGGGGGAGGACUCAAGAUGGCGCUGUGAGAACAACCCAGGAUUGGAGCUCUCGUUGAAUCCGCAAACAGAAGACAGCAGCAUCCAGUCCCAGCCUCCCCUGGGAGCAGGCAGUUGGCAACCCUGCGCUGACAGGCCUCGAUCCCGAGGCCGCGUGUCCUCAGUAGGUGCCCAGACGGACUGAAGCCAUGGCCAUUCUUUUUGCCGUUGUUGCCAGAGGGCCCACUAUCUUUGCCAAACAUGCUUGGUGUGGAGGAAAUGCCUGUCUUAACAUCUCACCACCUUCCUGGAGGUGACAGAGCAUAUUCUGGCUAAGAUACCUUCUGAAAAUAACAAACUAAGGUACUCACAUGGCAAUUAUUUGUUUCAUUACAUCUGCCAAGACAGGAUUGUAUAUCUUUGUAUCACGGAUGAUGAUUUUGAAUGUUCCCGAGACUUUAAUUUUCUGAAUGAGAUAAAGAAGAGGUUCCAGACUGCUUAUGGUUCAAGAGCACGGACAGCACUUCCAUAUGCCAAGGAAAGUGAGUUCUCAAGUGUCUUGGCUGCACAGCUGAAGCAUCACUCUGAGAAUAAGGGCCUAGACAAAGUGAUGGAGACUCAACCCCAAGUGGAUGAACUGAAAGGAAUCAUGGUCAGAAACGUAGAUCUGGUAGCUCAGCGAGGAGAAAGAUUGGAAUUAUUGAUUGACAAAAAAGAAAAUCUCAUGGAUUCUUCUGUCACCUUCAAAACUGCUAGCAGAAAUCUUGCCCAAGCCAUGUGUAUAAAGAAUCUCAAGCUCACUAUCAUCAUUAUCAUCAUAUCAAUUGUGUUCAUUUGUAUCAUUGUCUCACCUCUCUGUGGUAGAUUUACAUGGCCAAGCUGUGUGAAGAAAUAAGAAAGAAAAAGUUAACAUUAAUUAAGGAUAUGAGAGAACAAGGAGUUAAAAGCAAUCUUUGUGACUCAAGCCUUUCACAUACUGAGAGAUGGUAUCUGCCAGUCUCUUCAACCCUCUUCUCACUUUUUAAAAUCUUGUUCUAUGCCUCCAGGUUUAUCUUUGUCUUAUCAACCAGUUUAUUCCCUUGAACUUCAGAUUGAACCAUUCAUUGCAGCCGUAGUCUUAAAAAGGCUUCUGUUUAUUUCUUUGGUUUGUUAACUAGUGUCAUCUAUUUAGAAAAACAUUUUUGUUUUUAAUUGUACAAAGCUGUGACCACUAGUCUUAUGAGCUAUCUACUAAAACUAUGGAGAAACUUUGUAUAUGCACACAAAAGUAUUCAAGAGACAGACAGUAUUGCUAACAGCUCAUCUUAAUGUCUUUUGUUAUUGAGAAGUUUUAGGUGCUUCAAAACAAUAUAAAUGGAUAACAGUUGUUAUUUGGGGAAUUGUAAUGAUGUUGGUGCUGCUAGCUUCUAAGAGAUCAGACAAGUAAAGUAUGAAACAUUCUUAUUUCAGUUAGAUGGGAAACAUUUUGCUAGCACAUUAGAAGCACACAGAAUUAUCCUUGUCCCCAUAGUAUUUACUUUCAGGAAUAAAGUUCAGUGUGCUGAUCAUUUAUGAUACAGAUAGCUUGAUAUCUUCUGUUUUCCCAUUACUGUUAAUUUGAGAAGAUGAAGGUUUAAAUUUUUAAAAAUUUUUUUUAUGGCA